UACGUAGGGGGCAAGCGUUGUCCGGAAUCAUUGGGCGUAAAGCGCGUGUAGGCGGUUCGGUAAGUCUGCUGUGAAAGUCCAGGGCUCAACCCUGGGAUGCCGGUGGAUACUGUCGGACUAGAGUACGGAAGAGGCGAGUGGAAUUCCCGGUGUAGCGGUGAAAUGCGCAGAUAUCGGGAGGAACACCAAUUGCGAAGGCAGCUCGCUGGGACGUCACUGACGCUGAGGCGCGAAGGCGUGGGGAGCGAACGGG
rnacentral:rRNA from 1 species